rnacentral:rRNA from 1 species
UACGAAGGGGGCUAGCGUUGCUCGGAAUCACUGGGCGUAAAGGGUGCGUAGGCGGGUCUUUAAGUCAGAGGUGAAAUCCUGGAGCUCAACUCCAGAACUGCCUUUGAUACUGAGGAUCUUGAGUUCGGGAGAGGUGAGUGGAACUGCGAGUGUAGAGGUGAAAUUCGUAGAUAUUCGCAAGAACACCGGUGGCGAAGGCGGCCAACUGGACCAUUACUGACGCUGAGGCGCGAAAGCGUGGGGAGCAAACAGG